rnacentral:rRNA from 1 species
ACGCGUGGGAACAUGCCCUUCUCUACGGAAUAGCCUCUGGAAACGGAGAGUAAUACCGUAUACGCCCUUUGGGGGAAAGAUUUAUCGGAGAAGGAUCGAGCCCGCGUUAGAUUAGGUAGUUGGUGGGGUAACGGACUACCAAGCCUACGAUCUAUAGCUGGUUUUAGAGGAUGAUCAGCAACACUGGGACUGAGACACGGACCAGACUCCUACGGGAGGCAGCAGAGGGGAAUCUUAGACAAUGGGGGCAACCCUGAUCUAGCCAUGCCGCGUGAGUGAUGAAGGCCUUAGGGUCGUAAAGCUCUUUCGACUGUGAUGAUAAUGACAGUAGCAGGUAAAGAAACCACGGCUAGAUCCGUGCCAG